rnacentral:rRNA from 1 species
UACGUAGGUGGCAAGCGUUGUCCGGAAUUAUUGGGCGUAAAGAGCUCGUAGGCGGUCUGUUGCGUCGGCUGUGAAAACCCGGGGCUCAACCCCGGGCCUGCAGCCGAUACGGGCAGACUAGAGUUCGGCAGGGGAGACUGGAAUUCCUGGUGUAGCGGUGAAAUGCGCAGAUAUCAGGAGGAACACCGGUGGCGAAGGCGGGUCUCUGGGCCGAUACUGACGCUGAGGAGCGAAAGCGUGGGGAGCGAACAGG